GUCUUUGGCCAUGCCACCCUGAAACAAGCCCCAUGUCUGAUCGCGAAAGCUAAGCAGGGUGGGGCCUGGUUAGUACUUUGAUGGGAGACCACCUAGGAAGACCUGGUGCUGUAGGCA
rnacentral:rRNA from 1 species